AUUUUUCCAAAUGAGAAAAACAAGUAUGGAAGAGAGGACUUGGUGAGUACCAAGUGGAAACCUGGCACAAUCCAACAUUCAUUUCAGGAGGAUGGUUCCAGCUGUGGUGUCUUUGUGAUGCUGAUGGCGAAACCGGUGGUGGAAGAGUUCCCAAAAAUUCCUGACAGCAUUAAUAUAAGGAGAUGAUGUGCCACUACAGGAAAAAUGUGGCCAAUGAAAUUUUGCUGGCAUCAGUGUGAAGAGAGGAGUACUGCUCUGUGUGUGGAGAAAAAGAAAGAGCCCAAACAGAGGAGCAAUGCAUCUGGAUUCAAUGUGAAUUAUGCCAGAGGUAGUUUCAUGUUCAGUGCCUCAACAUUAAUCUGCUACCAGAAGAACAAGCAUGGAUUUGUGAUGUGUGUUUGUAAGCUAUUUAGUUAGAGGAGCUGAUGCUGAAAGUGUGUUUCAAUUGUAAGAAAAUUGUUUUGCACUGAUAAGGGACAAUGCAAACUAUGAAAACAUAUUUUAUUACAUAAACAGUUUAUACAUAGAAAAUAAUUAAAUUUUCGAUUCAUCAAAAUAUCCACCAUUAGCAGCUGAAAACCUGGGCCAAGUUUAAACCAGUAACCAGGCAUCACAGCUGGCAAAGGGGCAUGUCUGACUUUGACAUGUAUAUAUUGCCAUUAUUAUGUAAUCAAAAUGAAAAUUAUUAUUGCUGGUCUUCAAUGAUAAUGUCAAGUUACUUUAAUGUACAGUAUUUGCACCAAAAAAAAUGAUAAGGAUUUAUGCUGAUGUCAUCCAAAACCACACUUUGCCAGGGGUGUUUCCAAACUUUGGAGGACAGUGUAUGUGUGUAUUUUUAUUCUCAUCCUAUUUUUUUAUUGUCUGUGUGUUGUCUCUGCUGGAAGCCUGUGACACUAAAACAAAUUCAUUGUAUGGGCAAGCAUACUUGGCAAUAAAGCUCUUUCUGAUUCUGAGAAAUGUGUAUUGCCUAUUUGAUAUGUUAUGGACAUUUUUUUUUUUUAGUAUUCUGUUUAUGUUUCAUAUUGUUGUGGUGCUUGUUGUCUUCUGCUGGCCCUUUAUGUGAAUGUAGUUGUUAAAAGCACGCUUGCAUUUGUGAGGGAGAAAUAAAUGUGACAUUUGAUAUUUUGAUAGUUCACUUUUUAUUUAUUAUCUACAAAAUGCUUACAAGGCCUAAAAUGUUUAUUUCCUAAUUAGGAUGCAAGAAUGCUAAAAAUAUAUAUAUUUUUUUCUGGCCAGGAAAUCUUUACCAGACUGCAGCAACAGUGUACUUUGAACAAGCUUUGGAGCUGUUUGUUCCACCAUAUAAGAUUUGAGCUGUAUAUAUAGCUGCAUUUCACAGUCAACUAAAUGCAAUAAAUAUGCCAAUCCCCAUGGUGUAGUGUGUUAUUUGGAGUGUGCAUAACAUCAAAGUGGUUUGGUGUUAACAUGGGUAGCGAAACGUUAUUGAUACUUUAAUUUGCAGGUAGGAUUGUGGAUGGACCUUCAGCACCACAUAUGUGGAC